UACGGGGGGGGCAAGCGUUGUUCGGAAUUACUGGGCGUAAAGGGCGCGUAGGCGGCCAUCUAAGUCAGACGUGAAAUCCCUCGGCUCAACCGAGGAACUGCGUCUGAUACUGGAAGGCUUGAAUCCGGGAGAGGGAUGUGGAAUUCCAGGUGUAGCGGUGAAAUGCGUAGAUAUCUGGAGGAACACCGGUGGCGAAGGCGGCAUCCUGGACCGGUAUUGACGCUGAGGCGGCGAAAGCUAGGGGAGCAAACGGG
rnacentral:rRNA from 1 species